rnacentral:tRNA from 1 species
AAAGGUGUAAGUUAAAUUUUAAAACUUUGUGGUUCAUGUUCACAUAAUACACUUGUGGGUGUCUCCUUUU